UACGUAGGGUGCAAGCGUUGUCCGGAAUUAUUGGGCGUAAAGAGCUCGUAGGCGGUCUGUCGCGUCGGCUGUGAAAACCCGGGGCUCAACCCCGGGCCUGCAGUCGAUACGGGCAGACUAGAGUGCGGUAGGGGAGACUGGAAUUCCUGGUGUAGCGGUGAAAUGCGCAGAUAUCAGGAGGAACACCGACGGCGAAGGCAGCACUCUGGGCCGGUACUGACGCUGAGGAGCGAAAGCAUGGGGAGCGAACAGG
rnacentral:rRNA from 1 species